rnacentral:rRNA from 1 species
AGAGAGAGACAUGCGCGCAUAUCAAUAAGCGGAGGAAAAGAAACUAACAAGGAUUCCCUUAGUAACGGCGAGUGAAGCGGGAAGAGCUCAAAUUUGAAAUCUUCAAGGUUUUACCUUGACGAAUUGUAGUUUAAAGAAGUGUUUUCUGCUGAAGUUUUGGUAAAAGUUCUUUGGAAUAGGACAUCAUAGAGGGUGAGAAUCCCGUAUUUGACCAUUAUUUUCAGCUUUGUGAUACACUUUCAAAGAGUCGGAUUGUUUGGGAAUGCAGUCCAAAAUGGGUGGUAAAUUUCAUCUAAAGCUAAAUAUUGGCGAGAGACCGAUAGCGAACAAGUACCGUGGGGGAAAGAUGAAAAGAACUUUGAAAAGAGAGUUAAACAGUACGUGAAAUUGUCAAAAGGGAAGCGUUUGACACCAGUGUUGUUUUCUCGAAAAUCAAUUAAAAAUGGCUCGAUUUUGUAUUGCUUGAGACCUUAAAAGCUCACUGUACAUUUUUCGUGUCCUUUUUAAUGCACUUUUCGUUUAACAAGUCAACAUCAGUUUCUUUUGUUGUAAAAGGGUCAUUGGAAGGUGGCUUUCUUUUCGGAGAAAGUGUUUAUAGCCUUUGGCCUCUACAAUCGGAGAGACUGAGGUCUGCAGCGUAGACUCUUCGGGGUUAGAUACAUUUGUGCUAAGUUAUAGCUUUUUAUAGACAACUUGUUGACUAUAAUUAGUCUUGUAGCUUACUCGCUUAUGCUAUUUUACCUACGCUUAGGAUGUUGAGUCGUAGAGCACGCAG